ACAAACUUGGUCAUUUAGAGGAAGUAAAAGUCGUAACAAGGUUUCCGUAGGUGAACCUGCGGAAGGAUCAUUAACAAUUUAUCCUUAUGGAUAAAUUUUAUCCAUAUCCACCUUGUGUGCAUCAUUGAAGCGUUAGUUGGCAGGUGAAAUCCUUUUCAAGGAUUUAAAGUGCAGUUAUUUGCAGCCUGCCAAUUUUAUUUGUCUCAACUUGUCUACUUACACUUUUGACUGAAAUGUUAUUAUUUAAUAAAUACAACUUUCAACAACGGAUCUCUUGGCUCUCGCAUCGAUGAAGAACGCAGC
rnacentral:misc_RNA from 1 species